rnacentral:rRNA from 1 species
UACGAAGGGGGCUAGCGUUGCUCGGAAUCACUGGGCGUAAAGGGUGCGUAGGCGGGUCUUUAAGUCAGGGGUGAAAUCCCGGGGCUCAACCCCGGAACCGCCUUUGAUACUGGGCGUCUGGAGUCCGGAAGAGGUUGGUGGAAUUCCGAGUGUAGAGGUGAAAUUCGUAGAUAUUCGGAGGAACACCAGAGGCGAAGGCGGCCAACUGGUCCGGUACUGACGCUGAGGCGCGAAAGCGUGGGGAGCAAACAGG